rnacentral:rRNA from 1 species
ACGCACGCUGGCGGCGUGCUUCACCCCUGCCAGUCGCACGGAAAGGCCCUGCUUUUGUGGGGUGCUCGCGUGGCGAACGGGUGAGUAACACGUGAGUAACCUGCCCUUGACUUUGGGAUAACUUCAGGAAACUGGGGCUAAUACCGGAUAGGAGCUCCUGCUGCAUGGUGGGGGUUGGAAAGUUUCGGCGGUUGGGGAUGGACUCGCGGCUUAUCAGCUUGUUGGUGGGGUAGUGGCUUACCAAGGCUUUGACGGGUAGCCGGCCUGAGAGGGUGACCGGCCACAUUGGGACUGAGAUACGGCCCAGACUCCUACGGGAGGCAGCAGUGGGGAAUAUUGCACAAUGGGCGGAAGCCUGAUGCAGCAACGCCGCGUGCGGGAUGACGGCCUUCGGGCUGUAAACCGCUUUCGCCUGUGACGAAGCGUGAGUGACGGUAAUGGGUAAAGAAGCACCGGCUAACUACGUG